rnacentral:rRNA from 1 species
UUGGAGGGCAAGUCUGGUGCCCGCAGCCGCGGUAAUUCCAGCUCCAAUAGCGUAUAUUAAAGUUGUUGCAGUUAAAAAGCUCGUAGUUGAAUUUCGGGAUCAGUAUGUUGGUCGUGCUUCGGUACGUACUGUCAUUACUGGUUUCUCCCUUCUGAAGAACCUUGAUGUCAUUAAUUUGGUGUCUUGGGGAAUCAGGACUGUUACUUUGAAAAAAUUAGAGUGUUUAAAGCAGGCAUACGCUUGAAUACAUUAGCAUGGAAUAAUGAAAUAGGACGUUUGAUUCUAUUUUGUUGGUUUCUAGGAUCGACGUAAUGAUUAAUAGGGAUAGUUGGGGGCAUUAGUAUUCAAUUGUCAGAGGUGAAAUUCUUGGAUUUAUUGAAGACUAACUACUGCGAAAGCAUUUGCCAAGGAUGUUUUCAUUAAUCAAGAACGAAAGUUAGGGGAUCGAAGACGAUCAGAUACCGUCGUAGUCUUAACCAUAAACUAUGCCGACUAGGGAUCGGAUGAUGUUAUUUUUAAUGACUCAUUCGGCGCCUUAUGGGAAACCAAAGUGUUUGGGUUC